rnacentral:tRNA from 1 species
UAGAAGGUAGCUUAUCUUUAAAGCAAAUUAUUUACAUUAAUUAGAAAAUAUUUAAUUCCUUUUAA